ACGAGGGAGAGAACUUGAACCUGCAUCUGGAAAUUUGGCCAUCUCAACUCUUCUCUCCACCGUCUAGCUCGUCACCGGUGGUGUGGGUCACCGGAAAUAUUCUCUUUCCCUUCUGUCCUUCGCUCCUUCUCCUCUGUUCGUUUCUCUAUUGUCGGUGUUAUUGGAGCUUCUCUUCCGUCUGAGAGCAAGAUAUAUUUUUUUGCUCAGAGCUUCAAACCCUCGAUCCAGCCACUGUCCUUUGCUAUUCAACAUGCUGUUGACGAGAAUAGGAGUUCCGCUUACCGUUGCUGUGAUGUACGCCCAAAACCACAACGUUGUGGUACACAUCAUAGUAUAGCCGACACUGUAGUCCUGCUUUUCUAUGAGGGAAGUUUUGCUGAGCUUGGCGGAGAUUUGUUCUGUAAAGAUUUUCUAUUGAUGUAAAUAUGAAUUUAUGAAUUGUGUCAUGAAAAUAUUAUUAGGUGCUUUAUAUAGACUGUAGUUAGGGUUCUAAUUUUCUUUGUUAUAUUGUCUAUCUGUUGCUGAGGAGUAGAGUUCCAUAUUGUGGGGGUAUAAAUUGUAAAAUUUUUGUUGUAAAAAUUUUGAGAGAUCUUACUUA